rnacentral:rRNA from 1 species
GACGAACGUUGGCGGCGUGCUUAAUACAUGCAAGUCAACUGAAGCAGUGGUAGCAAUAUCGCUGUGGAGGCGGCGCACGGGUGAGUAACACGUAGGUAAUCUGCCUUCAGGUCUGGCAUAACUCCGGGAAACCGGGGCUAAUAGCAGAUGAUGCAGCGGCUCGACAUCGAGACAGUUGUUAAAGCUAUGGCGCCUGAAGAUGAGCCUGCGUCUGAUUAGCUAGUUGGCGGGGUAACGGCCCACCAAGGCAACGAUCAGUAGCUGGUCUGAGAGGAAGAUCAGCCACACUGGGACUGAGACACGGUCCAGACUCCUACGGGAGGCAGCAGUAAGGAAUAUUGCUCAAUGGGAGAAAUCCUGAAGCAGCAACGCCGCGUGAGGGACGAAGGGCUUUUGCUUGUAAACCUCUGUAGUGAGAGAAAAAAAUCCCAAUCUUUGGGACAUGAUGGUAGCUCAAAAGUAAGCCCCGGCUAACUACGUG